GAUGAACGCUGGCGGCGUGCCUAAUACAUGCAAGUCGAGCGAACAGACGAGGAGUUUGCGCGUCUGACUUUAGCGGCGGACGGGUGAGUAACACGUGGAUAACCUAACUAUAAGACUGGGAUAACUUCGGGAAACCGGAGCUAAUACCGGAUAAUAUAUUGAACCGCAUGGUGCCAUAGUGAAAGAAGGUUUUUCUGACACUUAUAGAUGGAUCCGCGCCGCAUUAGUUAGUUGGUACGGUAGCGGCUUACCAAGGCAACGAUGCGUAGCCGACCCGAGAGGGUGAUUCGCUAGCCGGGAACAGAGAAUGGUCACCGACUCUUACGGGAGGAAGCAGUCGGGAAUCUUCCGCGAGGGGGGAGUGCCGGAUGGUGCAACACGGCGGAAAUGAUGAUCGACUUCGGCUCGGAAAGCUCUGUUGGUCUUGGAGAAGUAAAGUGUUUUUAACCGGGAUGAUAAUGACGGUACCUGGAGAAAAAGCUCCGGCUAACUACGUG
rnacentral:rRNA from 1 species